rnacentral:lncRNA from 1 species
CACAAAUGAACUAUCCAUCUCAAUAAACGAAUUGUACAAUACAAUAAGCUCAGUUCGUGGUUCUAUUACGUCACAUUAACUCCAAGAACAUACACGCACAUAAAUCAAAAUGCAAAAUUCAAAGAGAAACCAUGUAACACCAUUCAACUUAAACUUAUAGUGCAUAUUACAUAAACAUGACUAUUACCAGAUCAAUCUUUAAUCAAUUAAAUGUAAGGAACUAAUUCACGGAUCUCUUCCCUCCUGUUUCUCCUGCUCUUCCAUAACUCUUCCCUCUUGUUUCUCCUGCUCUCUUCCCUCCUGUUUCUCCUGCUCUUCCGUAACUCUUGUUAUCUUGCGGAUAGUUACAUUGAGUAUUAUCUCCACGUCCUCUUCUUUACAUAUUUGAGCAAAAUUUUUGAAAAUACGGGACAAAUCGUCAAUGAAAUCCUCGUUCUUUCCACGUCCUCUGCAGCUACGACAAACCCUCCUGUUCUUUCCAGCCAUUGAAAAAUUCUAUUGCACCCACAACAAUUAACUAAAUCAGCAUAAAACACGAGAAUUUUUCAAUGAAAUAUAAUGAUAAACUGAGGCCACAUAUAUAUAUAUCAGUGUUUCAAGUUGGGAUGGGAAACUUGAUCAACAAAAUUGAAAAUAAAAAACGGCAGAGAAAAAUUCAAGUUAUCUGCCAACAAAUGAAUCGCAAAUUCAAGACCUAUUAACGUAUGCCUGCUAAAACUGAAGCCAUGAAAGAAGGCACACAUUCUUAAAACUGAAAGAAAAUCAGAAGCCAUGAAAGUUCCUGGCAACAACACAAGGCCCAUUCCAGACACAAUUUCCAAAUAAUAAUCUUAAUUAAUUAUCAUUGCGAAUAUGAAUUAAUUAAAGGGUAUGGAAUCUCCAUUAAAAUAGACUCGUGAAAAUAAAAUAAAAAAAAACCUAAAAAAAGAAAAACGAAAAUAAGAACUUGCUGCGAAUCGAGGAUCUGUGGAGAAGAUAUGCUGAUGAUAUUCUUCACAUUAUAUGAAAAAAUGCACAAAAUAUUUAGAAGAAAUUACAUCCAUGACUGAUUCUAAAAUAAAGAAGAGAAAGACGCCGACCGGAGUACUAAUUACUGUGUCACCGCCGUCGAGGGUUCUAGAUACUAUUUCUGACCGUUCUUCAGCCUGCUGUCUUUAUAGAGAGAGAUUUUCCGCCCGUUUGGUGUUUCUUUUUCACCUCCAUAAAAUUGAUUUUUUAUCUGUUAUUUUAUUAUUUUAACUUUUAUUUUUAACUUUUCACUCAAAGGCGACCCUCACUUUUCUCUUUAAGAUCAAAAAAUCAAUUUUCAUAAUUAUUACCGAAUAGACUCUCAAUUUGAGAAGAAAAGAAUAGAG